rnacentral:rRNA from 1 species
UACGGGGGGAGCAAGCGUUGUUCGGAUUUACUGGGCGUAAAGGGCGCGUAGGCGGUCGUGACAAGUCACUUGUGAAAUCUCCGGGCUUAACUCGGAACGGUCAAGUGAUACUGUCGGACUAGAGUACAGAAGGGGCAACUGGAAUUCUCGGUGUAGCGGUGAAAUGCGUAGAUAUCGAGAGGAACACCUGCGGCGAAGGCGGGUUGCUGGGCUGAUACUGACGCUGAGGCGCGAAAGCCAGGGGAGCGGACGGG